GAGGAAGUAAAAGUCGUAACAAGGUUUCCGUAGGUGAACCUGCGGAAGGAUCAUUAUCGAAUAAAACUUGAACAGGCUGUUGCUGACUCCUCCAAGGAGGGAUACGUGCACGCUUGUCAUCUUUAUUUCUCCAACUGUGCACAUACUUGUAGACCUGAGAAUUGAUUUGAUUUUAUCAUCGAGUUGGGGACUGCUGUGCUUUUUAUCAAAGUCGGCUUUCCCUUGUAUUUUUCAGGUCUAUGUCGUUUUUCACAAACCUCUGAAUCUGUUUAGAAUGUUGAACCAAUAAAGUUUUAAAUAUACAACUUUCAGCAACGGAUCUCUUGGCUCUCGCAUCGAUGAAGAACGCAGCGAAAUGCGAUAAGUAAUGUGAAUUGCAGAAUUCAGUGAAUCAUCGAAUCUUUGAACGCAUCUUGCGCUCCUUGGUAUUCCGAGGAGCAUGCCUGUUUGAGUGUCAUUUCAACUUGUAUCAACUACAUCAUCAUUCUUGAUGUGGCUUGGAUGUGGAGGAUUUUUUUUUGCUGGCUUUUGAAUUGAAGUCUGCUCCUCUGAAAUGUAUUAGUGGUAUCUGAGCUGCUAUAGGUGUGAUAAAUAUCUAUGCCUUUGGUUAUGCUGAUUGUGUGCUGCUUCUAACGAAAAUGAAUCAAAGUUUUCUUUGACGAAUUUGACCUCAAAUCAGGUAGGACUACCCGCUGAA
rnacentral:rRNA from 1 species